GACAGAGGGUGCAAACGUUGCUCGGAUUUACUGGGCGUAAAGCGCAUGUAGGCGGGCGAUUAAGUCGGGUGUGAAAUCCCUGGGCUCAACCUAGGAACUGCAUCCGAAACUGAUCACCUUGAGUAGUGGAGAGGAAAGCGGAAUUCCGGGUGUAGAGGUGAAAUUCGUAGAUAUCCGGAGGAACACCAGUGGCGAAGGCGGCUUUCUGGACGCUAACUGACGCUGAGAUGCGAAAGCGUGGGGAGCAAACAGG
rnacentral:rRNA from 1 species